AUGGACCAUUAUACUAGCAAGAGGAAGUAUUCACCAGUUCCCUUGUCACAGUUGACACAGAUGGCUGAUCUCGAUCAAUCACCAUCACCUACUAUGCCGGUUACCAAUGAGUCGGAUAUGCGGUUUACUUUAGAUGAAGAACUUGAGGAAACCAACUUGGAUUCUCCCCCGCAUCUAUCUACACCUAUUCAGCAUGUGCAAGCCCCUCCAAGAUCCACACAAACGGAGAAACAUGACACUAGGCGUGGGAAAAAACAGAAGCGUAGUGCUACUGAUGACUUCCAUGAGAAGUAUUUAAAACUGAAGAAGGAAGAAAUUGAUCGAUUUGCUGCCAUUGAGGAGAAGAAGCUAGAGGACCCCUACAGCAUCAACAAGUGUAUCACAGCAAUUGAAGGCUUGGAAGGUCUACAACUAGGAGAUAUGUUGAUGGCAUCAGAUAUCUUCAAAUGUAAGGAGAACAGGGAAGUUUUCUUGUCCUACUCUACUAAUGAACUACGGUUGGCUUGGCUUAAAAGAGAGAUUGCACGUGCCCAAACAAAUGAUCAAAAUUAG
rnacentral:rRNA from 1 species